rnacentral:rRNA from 1 species
AGUUCCUACGGGGCGCAGCAGUGGGGAAUAUUGCACAAUGGGGGAAACCCUGAUGCAGCGACGCCGCGUGAGUGAAGAAGUAAUUCGUUAUGUAAAGCUCUAUCAGCAGGGAAGAAAAUGACGGUACCUGAGUAAGAAGCCCCGGCUAACUACGUGCCAGCAGCCGCGGUAAUACGUAGGGGGCAAGCGUUAUCCGGAAUCACUGGGUGUAAAGGGAGCGUAGACGGCUGAGCAAGCCUGAAGUGAAAGGCGGGGGCCCAACCCCUGGACUGCUUUGGGAACUGUACGGCU